rnacentral:rRNA from 1 species
CCUACGGGUGGCUGCAGUGAGGAAUAUUGGUCAAUGGGCGAGAGCCUGAACCAGCCAAGUCGCGUGAGGGAAGACGGUCCUAUGGAUUGUAAACCUCUUUUGCCGGGGAGCAAAAAGCGGUACGUGUACCGCAUCGAGAGUACCCGGAGAAAAAGCAUCGGCUAACUCCGUGCCAGCAGCCGCGGUAAUACGGAGGAUGCGAGCGUUAUCCGGAUUUAUUGGGUUUAAAGGGUUCGUAGGCGGGUGGUUAAGUCAGGUGUGAAAGUUUGGGGCUCAACCGUGGAAUUGCAGUUGAUACUGGGAUCCUUGAGUGCGGUAGAGGUAGGCGGAAUGCGUGGUGUAGCGGUGAAAUGCUUAGAUAUCACGCAGAACUCCGAUUGCGAAGGCAGCCUGCUGGCCUGUAACUGACGCUGAUGCACGAAAGUGUGGGUAUCGAACAGGAUUAGAUACCCUUGUAGUC